UACGAAGGGGGCUAGCGUUGCUCGGAAUUACUGGGCGUAAAGCGUGCGUAGGCGGUUAUUCAAGUCAGAGGUGAAAGCCCGGGGCUCAACCCCGGAACGGCCUUUGAAACUAGGUAACUAGAAUCUUGGAGAGGUUAGUGGAAUUCCGAGUGUAGAGGUGAAAUUCGUAGAUAUUCGGAAGAACACCAGUGGCGAAGGCGACAUACUGGUCCGUUACUGACGCUGAGGCUCGAAAGCGUGGGGAGCAAACAGG
rnacentral:rRNA from 1 species